UACGUAGGGGGCUAGCGUUGUUCGGAUUUACUGGGCGUAAAGCGCACGUAGGCGGCUCGUUAAGUCAGGGGUGAAAUCCUGGAGCUCAACUCCAGAACUGCCUUUGAUACUGGCGAUCUUGAGUCCGGGAGAGGUGAGUGGAACUGCGAGUGUAGAGGUGAAAUUCGUAGAUAUCAAGCGGAACACCGGUGGCGAAGGCGGCCUUCUGGACAGUAACUGACGCUGAGACGCGAAAGCGUGGGGAGCAAACAGG
rnacentral:rRNA from 1 species